UGCUGUGUAUGUGAUGAGUACUCAUGUCUCUUCUCUGACUAAACUGCAAUGGAGAGAACAUAUAAAACCUCUGAUCUCAGCG
rnacentral:snoRNA from 10 species